CAGCAGCCACGGUAAUACGAAGGGUGCAAGCGUUACUCGGAAUUACUGGGCGUAAAGCGUGCGUAGGUGGUGGUUUAAGUCCGUUGUGAAAGCCCUGGGCUCAACCUGGGAAUUGCAGUGGAUACUGGGUCACUAGAGUGUGGUAGAGGAUAGUGGAAUUUCCGGUGUAGCAGUGAGAUGCGUAGAGAUCGGAAGGAACAUCUGUGGCGAAGGCGACUAUCUGGGCCAACACUGACACUGAGGCACGAAAGCGUGGGGAGCAAACAGGAUUAGAUACCCCCGUAGUCCCUGUCUCUUAUAC
rnacentral:rRNA from 1 species